ACUUCUGUGAGGAAGACGACUGCCCCCACCCUACAUGCUCAGGACACGGGUGGUGCGUGUCCGGUACGUGUGUGUGUCAGCGAGGCUGGAGAGGGCCUGACUGUGGCAGCACGGACGAUGCCGCCCUCCAGUGCCUCCCAGAUUGCAACGGACACGGACACUUUGACCUAGAGAGCCAUCAGUGCAUCUGCGAGCCAGAGUGGACUGGCUCUGAGUGCAGUAAACGCGUGUGUGGCCUGGACUGCGGACUCCACGGCAGGUGUGAGGGCGGUGCAUGCCUUUGUACCCCUGGCUGGACAGGUGACCGCUGUAACCUCAUGACAUGUGACCCCAGGUG